AGAGGGCGUGAAACCGUUUAGAAGGAAACGAGAGGCGCCGCUAACUGCCAGUAAGAUUCAGCCGGUUCUGUUGCUUUGUGGCAGAGUGGUGCAUUUCUUGCUGGUGAACACCGAAGACUGUGUCGCACGUGAAACUGGUUGGUCGGAGAAAACCACAGAUGUGUUGUUUCCGGCCCUGUGGCUACACUUCGCGGCACAGUUAAUCAACAUUCUGCAGAGUUCGGUGUCGGGUGAGCCUGUUCUGAACACCUCGUGUCGUUUUCUAAACGGCUGAGGUGUUUCGGUGCAAGGCAAGCCAGCUCACUGACCAGGUGUUGUUUCGGUGUGAAAGUCGGCUACCCUCCCGACCCGUCUUGAAACACGGACCAAGGAGUCUAACAUGUGCGCAAGUCAUUGGGCUUGUGAAACCCAGAGGCGCAAUGAAAGUAAAGACCGGCUCGGUCGGUUGACACAUGAUCCGGGUGGCAUGCUGCUCGGCGCAAUGUGGUCCCAUCUUGAAUGCUUGUCAUUGAGGUGGCGAUUGAGCGUACAUGUUGGGACCCGAAAGAUGGUGAACUAUGCCUGAACAGGAUGAAGCCAGAGGAAACUCUGGUGGAAGUCCGAAACGGUUCUGACGUGCAAAUCGA
rnacentral:rRNA from 1 species